UACCUAUUAACCAGAGAGAUGAUACAGUGCGGUAGGGAAGCACGCGGACUUUGGAACAAGGCUGCCUGGGUUGACCGUGGCUCUGCCACUUACUAGCUUGAACCUUGAGCAAGUUCCUCAAUUUUAUCUGUGAAACACAGGACACCAACAGCAACACCUACCUAUGUGCGAACUAUUCCUAACAGCAUUUAUAACACAAUAAGCUCUAGAGAGGUGUUCUAGUUCUGCCGGCAGAACUAGUGUCCUAAGACACAUGUUGGGAAACACUAAUAGAAAAUUGGAAGCCCUAUAGAAUUCUAGAGAUGUCGUCUCUCCAUAAGAUUACAGACUGGUAGGAGAAAGGGUAUGUAAUUAUGACUCAACACAUUAAGUCACGACCAAGGAGUAUGUGCGGACUUUGGAACCCAAAGAAGGGAACGAACUGCAUUUCUAAUGGUGAGGAAGGUUACAGGAAAGAAUCUACAGCCAAACUGACAGAAAUCCCAAAACACGAGCAGGAUUUCACCAAGCAGAAAAGUAGAGGAUGACUGUGGCAAAUAAAAAGUAGGUGCACAGUAUGGCUGGGGACAGCGAGAAACCCAAUUUGACUAGAGUGGACAGGAGCUGGAAGACGGGACGACGCACUUCACUGGAAAUGCACUGACACUAGGUUGUUACAGGCCCCGGUUUCCAAAUUAGGGAGCCUGGGAUCUCAGUCUACAGGGAAAUAAGGAGCACCAACGUCAAAAACAACCAGCCAACCAAGGAAGGAUCAGAGUCGCAAGUGAACCGAGUAGAAGAGGAAAAGACUAGGGGCAACGAGACAUGUUUCAAGGAAAUUAAACCAGUUCCGCUGAAAACCACACCCAGAGCACAUCAGUCAUGUCCGGCCCUGUGUGAAAGCCCCGUUCUCUUCCUGCUGACGUUCCACUUUGAAGCUAAUUGCCCUGGCCAAGAACACAUACCUGCCAGUGUGACCCUGAAGUACACUGCUACCUGGUGUUUUGCCGGACAGCUCCCGGCAUCCAGGCGUUUCCUGGUCAACUGCUGGAGACACCUGAGCACCACCCUGUGCCAGCAGCAGGGCCCAGACCAGUGUUGUGCCACCUCGCUCUCUCAGGCUGCACCUGCCAUCCGCUAUGAUCCUCAAAACCGGGAAGGGCUCUCUGCUCCAAAAACUUCCUUCCUAACAAGCUCCACUGAAAAAUUAAAGGCUUCAUUCCCCCAUCAGAUAAAAAGCUAAAACGCAAUGAAUGAUCCCAGAAAAAGUUAAAUAACCGUUCCACCUGGAAACUUGAACGGCCCUUCUUGGCAAGGUGAUUUUAAUCAAACAGAAUUAGGAGACACAGAGAGCCUGGCAGAGGGAAGUGGGAGGAUGUGGUCGGGAACUGCUCAGAGACAAAUCACUUCUACCACGCUGGCAUAUGGCGCCUUUGCUAUGUGCCAGGCACGGCGCUGGAUGGGCUCUUUGUGCAUCAUUUACGCAGCAGAGUGACCCAGUGAAAUGGGCAUUAUUUCCAUUUUGUAGGAGAGCAAACGAGUUCAGAAGUGAAGUAUCGGUCUAAGGCCAAACAGCCACUAAUCGGCACAGCAUAAGCGUUACGUUCCACAAGUUCCCUGACGGCCAUCUGGGCGCACAGGUGGUGACAGCCCGGGUCAUCCCACUCCCACUGGAUGCGCCCUGGUAGCGACCGGGGCACAGCCCACUGUCAGGUCGAUGGAAAAGCCUGCUUGGCAAGGAGGCUCCCCCAUGGGCGCAGGACACGGGGUAGGGCUGGUCACAGCCAUUAGUUCGUUGACCUUGGCCUCAAAUGCUAGCUGCAACCCCCGUGAGCCGGGGACACCCUGGCGGAGUGCACGCACGCGUCGUGGCCUCCCCGCGCUAGCCGGGCGCGCGUGACUGUCUAAUGAGGCCGGCGCCAGCGUCCCACACCGCGAACUGAGACGAGCGAGGACAGAAACGGUUUCUCCACUCACAACCGCUCCUUUGCACUCACAUCCCGUCGGUUUGGGUGUCCCCGAGUUGGGACAUUAGGUUCUGUUGGUCCCGCUUUCCGCAGGCCUGGCUCUAAGCGUCGGCGGGAGGUGGGGGAGUGGGGCGCGGGUGGUGCGUGGCUUACCUGGCGUUAGAUUGGGAUCCCGCGCGGCCGACUCCCUCUUCCCCUUCACGGCAGCGUCCUCGUGCUGCUUCUCAGUGGGUGGGCCCUAGCCCCUACCCUUGACCCUCGACCCCGGCAGAGGUAGAGUUGGUCCCACCGCACCUAGGGGCGCCCCUCGAGGGCAGCACACGCCUGCUUCCGGCCUGGAGCACCUGCGAGGCCGCGAGGAACUCCGGGACAUCCGGUUGCUGGCGCACAGCUCUCUGGGACCAGACGCAGGUGAGGUGGAGUGGGCGGAACCGCUCAAAGCCACGCCCACGUCCUGCUCCCACGCCCACGUCCUGCUCCCACGCCCUGGCUGCCGGCAUCUGCGGAGUCUAUUGCCCUCUAUCCCUCCUGCUGCAGCUGAGGCAAGAGGGGCAGAGAGCAGCUACGGUCACCAUAGCCACUUUCUAAUGUACUCCAGAACUUUUCCCAUCCCAGGCAGAAAAAUAAAACCCAGCAAGAAUUCUUUCCA
ensembl:lncRNA